UACAGAGGUCUCAGGCGUUGUUCGGAUUCAUUGGGCGUAAAGGGUGUGUAGGUGGCGCCGUAAGUCGGGUGUGAAAUUUCGGAGCUUAACUCCGAAACUGCAUUCGAUACUGCGGUGCUUGAGGACUGGAGAGGAGACUGGAAUUCAUGGUGUAGCAGUGAAAUGCGUAGAGAUCAUGAGGAAGACCAGUGGCGAAGGCGGGUCUCUGGACAGUUCCUGACACUGAGACACGAAGGCCAGGGGAGCAAACGGG
rnacentral:rRNA from 1 species